GCUUACGGCCACACCUCCCUCAGCACGCCCGAUCUCGUCUGAUCUCAGAAACUAAGCAGGGUCGGGCCCGGUUAGUACUUGGAUGGGAGACCGCCUGGGAAUACCAGGUGCUGCAAGCC
ensembl:rRNA 5S_rRNA 5S ribosomal RNA